rnacentral:rRNA from 1 species
ACUCUUACGGGAGGCAGCAGUGGGGAAUUUUGGACAAUGGGCGCAAGCCUGAUCCAGCCAUGCCGCGUGAGUGAAGAAGGCCUUCGGGUUGUAAAGCUCUUCGUCCGGAAAGAAAUCGUGCUAGGUAAUACUGUGCGCGGAUGACGUACCGUCAUAAGAAGCACCGGCUAACUACGUGCCAGCAGCCGCGGUAAUACGUAGGGUGCGAGCGUUAAUC